GACGAACCGUGCAAACGUUGUUCGGAAUCACUGGGCUUAAAGGGCGCGUAGGCGGGUGAUCAAGUCCGGGGUGAAAUCUUUCGGCUCAACCGGAAAAUAGCCUUGGAUACUGGUCGUCUUGAGGGAGGUAGGGGCAUGUGGAACUUCCGGUGGAGCGGUGAAAUGCGUUGAUAUCGGAAGGAACGCCGGUGGCGAAAGCGACGUGCUGGAUCUCUUCUGACGCUGAUGCGCGAAAGCUAGGGGAGCAAACGGG
rnacentral:rRNA from 1 species